UCGGGCGCUCGUGUCACGGGUUGGCCUGUUCAUGCAGGCCCUAAGAGGGAAGGAGGUGCCCCGAGGCCGCCGCGAGGCGGACAGGGAAAUCCUCCGCUGCCCCCGCAACUGUGACCGGGGAGCGAUCCCGCCACAUGCCACUGGGCCUGCAAGGUCCGGGAAGGCGGCGGGACAGCGUCGAUCCGGGAGCCAGGAGACCUGCCUUUGACCGUCGUUCGGC
rnacentral:ncRNA from 2 species